UGAACGCUAGCGGCAGGCCUAACACAUGCAAGUCGAGGGGUAACAGAAAAGCUUGCUUUUGCUGACGACCGGCGCACGGGUGCGUAACGCGUAUGCAACCUACCUCAUACUGGAGGAUAGCCCCUGGAAACGGGGAUUAAUACUCCAUAGUAUCACAAUUUCGCAUGUUAUUGUGAUUAAAGUUUUUCGGUAUGAGAUGGGCAUGCGUCCCAUUAGCUUGUUGGUGAGGUAACGGCUCACCAAGGCAACGAUGGGUAGGGGGCCUGAGAGGGUGGUCCCCCACACUGGUACUGAGACACGGACCAGACUCCUACGGGAGGCAGCAGUGAGGAAUAUUGGUCAAUGGAGGAAACUCUGAACCAGCCAUGCCGCGUGAAGGAUGACGGCCCUAUGGGUUGUAAACUUCUUUUAUAGAGGAAGAAACUUGUCUACGUGUAGACAACUGACGGUACUCUACGAAUAAGGAUCGGC
rnacentral:rRNA from 1 species